UUGUAGAUUGGCUGCACUUAAAAACCGCCAAAUCUGUAGCUGUGGUAGCGUUAACACCCUCAUCAUAGUUUCAAGAUAGUUUGCGUUCGACCAUGGUAAAGCUGGUGUAGUUUUUGUUACCAUUCAAUGGAUUAAAGCUGAAGGCAAAGAGUACAAAAUUUAUUUAAACAGAAAGUUUAAAUCCAUCAAGUAGAGCUACAUAGGUGGUAAUAGCACCUACAGUACCUAAAAUAAAGCUUCUUUUAAUCGGUGUUAUUUUCCAAACCGUUAAAUUAAUUUCUUUCGGGAUGGAAAAGAGAAGAACCUGUUUGCCUGAGGAAACUGAGAAAGCAUUGCAAGGUAAGGCUUGGACAGCUUCGUAUAUUUUAGCUGAAGUUUCCGUUACUGAGACCGCUGAAAUUGACAUAAACAUGAAAGAUAAAAAAUAGUAGAUAAGGAAUAACGAAUUUAAGAUAAUUUCAAGUCUACCUGGAGCAAGAAAAUCAUUAUAGUUAAGAUAGAUGGAUAAAGUAACAUACAUUAAUCCAGCGUUGACUAUUACUUCAAUGAAAAUUAACACAGAAAGAUCAUCAUCGGCAGAGAUUACUUUCGAUUUAAUAAUAUGAUAUUCCCUGCACAACAUCUCUGCAUUCAAAGCUUCUGCACGCAAAAAUCGAAUUUCAAACUGCUGCAACAAAGAUUUUAAUUGCUGGCAAACUACUAUAUAAUAUGCCACAAAAAUGUUCAUUGGCAACAUCAUCGAAAAAGUAAAAACAAAUGAUGCUGUUGUGCCUAACGCCGCAAAGAAGAAUUUUGAGUCUAAUUUGCUGUUAUAUAAAUGAAUCCUAGAAUGAAAGGAAUUGGAUAGUAUGAUUGCAGUAAAGCUGAAGUGUGUAAUAUGCAUUAAUAUACCUGAAGUUAUCCAUGCAUACAUGUACUUUAUGUUUAGUGAACUAAUACUUGUAUUUGUUUUAUGUAAAUCAGCAAAUAUUUCUUUGAGCUUUUGAAAUUUAUACAGGAGAACGCUGCGAAAGAUAACCAUCAUGACGCUUAAUAAUAUGCUUCCUAACUUAAAAAAAGAAGCCUUUUCAUAGACAAAAACAACAUAAUUACAAACAUGUAUGAAAGCGUGAGAAUUACAUGGAAUAAGGCAGGAGCUAAUCUUAACAAUGUCCUCCUUUUAGAUUUAUUCUUCGUGGUUCCACUUAUAGGCAAUAUUCCACUAAGCCUGAACAACGUAAAGACAAAUUUGCGUAGUUGUUUUGUUUGUUUCUUUUGUCUGUCCGACGUCUCAGUAAGACUUACCAAAUGAGUCACCUGAGAUUGAAGAAUAGCAUCCAUGAUUUAUAAAUUGAUGUAGUUUAAAGGAUUAAGUGAAAUCUGAUAUUAAAUGGAACUUCCAUUUUA